rnacentral:rRNA from 1 species
UACGUAGGGAGCAAGCGUUGUCCGGAUUUAUUGGGCGUAAAGAGCUCGUAGGCGGUUCGGCAAGUCGACGGUGAAAUCUCCACGCUCAACGUGGAGGGGCCCGCCGAUACUGCUGUGACUCGAGUCCGGUAGGGGAGUGUGGAAUUCCCGGUGUAGCGGUGAAAUGCGCAGGAGAUCGGGAGGAACACCCGUAGCGAAGGCGGCCA